CAGGCGGUUUUUUAAGUUUUGAAGGUUGAAAGCCCCCGGCUUCAACCGGGGAGGGUCAUUUGGAAACUUGGGGAACUUUGAGUGCAGAAGAGGAGAGUGGAAUUUCCACGUGUAGCGGUGAAAUGCGUAGAGAUGUGGAGGAACACCAGUGGCGAAGGCGACUCUCUGGUCUGUAACUGACGCUGAGGAGCGAAAGCGUGGGGAGCGAACAGGAUUAGAUACCCUGGUAGUCCACGCCGUAAACGAUGAGUGCUAAGUGUUAGGGGGUUUCCGCCCCUUAGUGCUGCAGCUAACGCAUUAAGCACUCCGCCUGGGGAGUACGGUCGCAAGACUGAAACUCAAAGGAAUUGACGGGGGCCCGCACAAGCGGUGGAGCAUGUGGUUUAAUUCGAAGCAACGCGAAGAACCUUACCAGGUCUUGACAUCCUCUGACGAUCCUAGAGAUAGGACGUCCCCUUCGGGGGCAGAGUGACAGGUGGUGCAUGGUUGUCGUCAGCUCGUGUCGUGAGAUGUUGGGUUAAGUCCCGCAACGAGCGCAACCCUUGAUCUUAGUUGCCAGCAUUCAGUUGGGCACUCUAAGGUGACUGCCGGUGACAAACCGGAGGAAGGUGGGGAUGACGUCAAAUCAUCAUGCCCCUUAUGACCUGGGCUACACACGUGCUACAAUGGACAGAACAAAGGGCAG
rnacentral:rRNA from 1 species